AGGAGAGUUUGAUCCUGGCUCAGGAUGAACGCUAGCGGCAGGCUUAACACAUGCAAGUCGAGGGGCAGCGGGUGUAGCAAUACAUGCCGGCGACCGGCGCAAGGGUGCGUAACGCGUGAGCAAUCUGCCCGUAUCAGGGGGAUAAGCGAUGGAAACGUCGUCUAAUACCGCAUAACACCAAUGAUGGCAUCAUCGAUGGUUGAAAGCUUCGGUGGAUACGGAUGAGCUCGCGAGACAUUAGUUAGUUGGCGGGGUAACGGCCCACCAAGACCGCGAUGUCUAGGGGAACUGAGAGGUUGGUCCCCCACACUGGAACUGAGACACGGUCCAGACUCCUACGGGAGGCAGCAGUGAGGAAUAUUGGACAAUGGCCGGAAGGCUGAUCCAGCCAUGCCGCGUGAAGGAAUAAGGUCCUAUGGAUUGUAAACUUCUUUUGUACGAGAGCAAUAAGUGUCACGAGUGACACGAUGAGAGUAUCGUACGAAUAAGCAUCGGCUAACUCCGUGCCAGCAGCCGCGGUAAUACGGAGGAUGCGAGCGUUAUCCGGAUUUAUUGGGUUUAAAGGGUGCGUAGGCGGGAUUUUAAGUCAGCGGUGAAACGCAAGGGCUCAACCCUUGACCUGCCGUUGAAACUGGAGUUCUUGAAUGCGGAUGCUGUGGGAGGAAUGUGUGGUGUAGCGGUGAAAUGCAUAGAUAUCACACAGAACACCGAUUGCGAAGGCAUCUCACAAAUCCGUGAUUGACGCUGAGGCACGAAAGUGUGGGGAUCAAACAGGAUUAGAUACCCUGGUAGUCCCU
rnacentral:rRNA from 1 species